GCCCGGCCCGAGAGUGGAUCCGAUACUACUGGCCCGCAUCCAACCAAAAACUAAUAGUGCUUUAUUCAUAAAGAGGUUAUGAUGAUUGCUUGUGUGAGAUGCACCUAAAGAGUCUAGAGAGAGAUAGAGGUGAUGCAUUUCUAUUUUUGUUGUUGUAGUUACAGAGCAAGCUUGGACGGUCUAUUACAUCACAGGCAAUUGCUUACAACCAUCUCAUGGUUAAAGGUGCAAAGGAACUUGUAAUGUCUUAUUAUCCAAUGGC
rnacentral:lncRNA from 1 species